rnacentral:lncRNA from 1 species
UAAGAAAAUGCAUCUCCUAAUUUAAUAGUAAUAAACUACAUAAGAAAUUAAAUCAAACUAGAAUAGGAAGAAAAUCAAAAUUAAGAAGAUUAUAACCAUAAUAGUAUAGACAUGCCAUCCCUUUGUGGAAACCUUUUAAAUGGUGGAGAUCUUUCUUAAUUAUGGGCGUAUCUUCCUUUAAAUAGUUGAGAUUUAAUUUUCUCUUUUCUUGAAAUUUUAGGAAGAUCUUGAAAUUAAUUAUUGAUUCUCCC